UAGGGAAUCUUCGGCAAUGGACGGAAGUCUGACCGAGCAACGCCGCGUGAGUGAAGAAGGUUUUCGGAUCGUAAAGCUCUGUUGUAAGAGAAGAACGAGUGUGAGAGUGGAAAGUUCACACUGUGACGGUAUCUUACCAGAAAGGGACGGCUAACUACGUGCCAGCAGCCGCGGUAAUACGUAGGUCCCGAGCGUUGUCCGGAUUUAUUGGGCGUAAAGCGAGCGCAGGCGGUUAGAUAAGUCUGAAGUUAAAGGCUGUGGCUUAACCAUAGUAGGCUUUGGAAACUGUUUAACUUGAGUGCAAGAGGGGAGAGUGGAAUUCCAUGUGUAGCGGUGAAAUGCGUAGAUAUAUGGAGGAACACCGGUGGCGAAAGCGGCUCUCUGGCUUGUAACUGACGCUGAGGCUCGAAAGCGUGGGGAGCAAACAGGAUUAGAUACCCUGGUAGUCCACGCUGUAAACGAUGAGUGCUAGGUGUUAGACCCUUUCCGGGGUUUAGUGCCGUAGCUAACGCAUUAAGCACUCCGCCUGGGGAGUACGACACGCAAGGUUG
rnacentral:rRNA from 1 species